rnacentral:rRNA from 1 species
CCUACGGGUGGCAGCAGUCGGGAAUCUUGGGCAAUGGGCGCAAGCCUGACCCAGCGACGCCGCGUGAGGGAUGAAGGCCUUCGGGUCGUAAACCUCUGUCGGGAGGGAAGAAUGGCGGCAGGGCGAAUAGUCCUGUCGUUUGACGGUACCUCCAAAGGAAGCGCCGGCUAACUCCGUGCCAGCAGCCGCGGUAAUACGGAGGGCGCAAGCGUUGUUCGGAAUCACUGGGCGUAAAGCGCGUGUCGGCGGCGAAAUCCCGAGGCUCAACCUCGGAACGGCAUUCGAAACUGCUCGGCUCGAGUCCCGGAGAGGAUGGCGGAAUUCCCGGUGUAGGGGUGAAAUCCGUAGAUAUCGGGAGGAACACCAGUGGCGAAGGCGGCCAUCUGGACGGUGACUGACGCUGAGACGCGAAAGCGUGGGGAGCAAACAGGAUUAGAUACCCGGGUAGUC